CUCUCACGUUCUUUCAAUUUAAUCGUUCUCUCUCUCCUACGAUUCUCUCAAUUUGACCAUUGUAAAACUCUUGCUCUUCAUAAUCAACCAACCCAGUAUCCCACAAAUUCUGGUAACUGACUGCUUCUCUUGAAAAGGCCCCUCUCUCCACCACUGUCAAAACCACCGCACCCCCGCCGCUCCACAAAUUUCACAUUGUGUGCUCCACCGCUCCACGCUCCUGCAUCAUCGACAUCGAAUGCCCAAUAAGAAGCAUUGGAAAGCCGUUGAAUACCUACUCAAAUGCAAACAUCCACUAUGCAGGUGUUUGAGAUGUGAAAGCCGCAACCUUUUUACCAACUGAAAGAAGGGAUGUAUGAAGCUCAUUAUUCUUCUGAGGAGAUGCGGGCAGCACGAUCAAGCCUGCCAAGUGUUUGAUGAAAUGCUUCAAUAAGUUGAAGCAUUGGCAAUUCAAGGUCGGAAGAUAAAUUUAGUGAUGAGGCAAGAAAAAAGCUUGAGUCUUACCACAUAAAGCAUCAGAGGUUGAAAAGUGUGUCCAGAUAAAUAAGGACAAAUUUGAAAGUGUAAGCCUUCUUCAUUCCUGUGCUUCCUUAUGAGUCUGAUGUGAGUCUUUCUUCAACUUCCAGGACAAUAAUCUUGGCUUGGUGAAGCAAAUUAUAUCAUGGGUUGUGAUUUGGGGUGAAUAUGUGUUUGAAUGGAGGUUUUAGAUUUUGUCUUUGGUGAUUGCAUACAUAUUUUUUCAGUUGUCAGUACUAUUGUAUACCAACAUUAUGAUUUGCAUGGUUAUGUAUAUGGUGCAUCAUCUUCAAGAAUAAGGCUCCAAAUUCUAUAAACGAAAUUUGAAAGUUUGCCCAGAAAGCCAUGGGAACUACACAUAUGAGAGUUUAUGUCAAGUUGAACAAGCAUAUUUGAAGCCAUGGUAUACGCAGUGUUUCGAGAAGGAUUAGUGUUCAAAUAUCGAAAAAUGAAUGGUGAUGAAGAUGCCAAGGAGGAGCUCUACUCUUUGGUGACUGUCAUUGAAAUUCCAUAAGACCUUGAAGGGAUUGGGGCAUUGCAAUCUUUGAAGAAGAAUAGUAACUUUUUUUAUGCUAUAGGAAAAUGGAUGUUAUUCGAGUUACAAGCAAUUCAACAUGUUUCUCUACAUUUGUACAAUAUUCAUAAUUUAUUAUAGUACUCCACUACUCCUUAUUGUGUUUAAGAGAGUAAAAUAUUUCUCUCAUUCAUAAAA